CAGUUAAAAAGCUCGUAGUCGGAUUUCAUGCAGAGAAGUAUAUUUGGCCCUUUGGGUUACAAAGAAACCAUCUCUGCAUUCUUUUGCUGUUACUGCGUUCUCUCACUUUAUUGUGCGAAGCGUAUGUUCGGCAUCUUUUACUUUGAGAAAAUUAGAGUGUUCAAAGCAGACAUUUUUGUCUUGAAUAUUACUCAUGGAAUAAUAAUAUAUGACUUCGGUCUUCCUUUGUUGGUGUUUGUAGGCUGGAGUAAUGAUUGAUAGGGACAGUUGGGGUCAUUAGUACUUCUUAGCGAGAGGUGAAAUUCUUAGACCUUAGAAAGACUAACUACUGCGAAAGCAUUUGACAAGGAUGUUCCCGUUGAUCAAGAACGAAAGUUGAGGGAUCGAAGACGAUCAGAUACCGUCGUAGUCUCAACCAUAAACUAUGCCAGCUAGGGAUUGGGAGAGGCCUAAUUUUACAAAGACUCUCUCAGCACCUUAUGAGAAAUCAAAGCAUUUGGGUUCCGGGGGGAGUAUGGUCGCAAGGCUGAAACUUAAAGGAAUUGACGGGAGGGCACCACCAGGAGUGGAGCCUGUGGCUUAAUUUGACUCAACACGGGAAAACUUACCAGGUCCGGACAUAGCUAGGAUUGACAGAUUGAUAGCUCUUUCU
rnacentral:rRNA from 1 species